AACACCUCAUAGCUUCGGGCGAAAGUUUGACUCAUAAGAUGAUAAUAUAAUGGAACCAAUAUGAGGGUUAUAGAAAGUAUUUUGAAAACCAAUUAAGUCAUAAGAAAUAUCUUUGGGCAAAGAAAAGUUGGAAGCCACUCUACGGGGCAUGUUUGCAUGUGAGUUUAUAGAAGGUCUUACUUCCAAUGACCAUAACCCCUUUAUUAAUUGAGAAUUUGGGAAACCUUCCUUGAUGAAAGUUGUAUCCCUUUGAAAUAUCUUUUUAACCAUAGGUCGUGAGCCCUCAUAGAAUAUUGGGAUCAAAAGUUAUGGCCAUUAUACGACACACUGUCCGAGCAGAGAAUUUCUACGGACCAUUUGACGGUCCGUAGGAAAUUUUGACGGCCGUAAAACAGUUUGACGGUCCGUCAAAUUGACUCAGGCCAGCGUAAAAUGGUCAUAGAAACUCAUAUUUUGCUGGGCAGUUUUACGGACCAUUUUGACGGUCCGUCAAACAGUUUGACGGUCCGUAAAAAUGGGCGUAGAAUUGCCCGACGGGUCAGAUUUUAAGAUGUUAAUAAGAGACCCAAGCUCAUUUUUUUUCAUUCCCAUUUCUCCUCCAUGACUCAAGGGUUCUCUAGAGCCAUCCAAACACUUCAUAUGCAAGAAUCCAAGUGAAACUAAAGAUCCACUUCAUCAAUCCACAAAACUAAGUGUUAGAAACACAUCAAAUCCAUUCAAGUCAAGAAAUUCCAUGGAAGGUGGAACUAGGGUUUUGUUCAAGUGAAGCAUUUCAACUUAAGUCUUAUUCCUACAAUAACUAAGAUCAAAGUUGAAAGGGUUGACGAACAUUGUACUACGCUCAAAGUCUGGAAUUAAGGCAACGAUAUACAGGUUGACGACUCAGCUAUUUAGGAGUGCACGUAUCAGCUACUGGUGAGCCCCACAUUCCUUCGGGGCGUUGUCAGCUAUCCAGUUAUUUCAGUUUAUAGACAGCUCUAUUAUUCAGUACUCUUAGAGGCUUCAUAGACACAGUUCAGACAGUCAGAUAUUUAUUAUGUUAGCCUUGUUGGCAGUUGUUCAGUUGUUUUGGUUUAAGCCAUGUUGGCUACGUUCAGAUAUUUCAGAUUGUCUAACUAUUUUCGCAUUAUGAUUUCAGUCAGACCUUCAGUAUAUCAGUAUGUGUUUAGUUGUUUCCACGUUCAGUUAUGUU